rnacentral:rRNA from 2 species
CCUACGGGGGGCAGCAGUGGGGAAUAUUGCACAAUGGGCGAAAGCCUGAUGCAGCAACGCCGCGUGAACGAAGAAGGCCUUUGGGUCGUAAAGUUCUGUCCAAGAGGAAGAUAAUGACGGUACUCUUGGAGGAAGCCCCGGCUAACUACGUGCCAGCAGCCGCGGUAACACGUAGGGGGCAAGCGUUAUCCGGAAUUAUUGGGCGUAAAGGGUGCGUAGGCGGCUUCUUAAGCGUGGGGUGAAAUGCAAUAGCUCAACUAUUGUAAGCCUUGCGAACUGGGGAGCUUGAGUGCAGGAGAGGAAAGCGGAAUUCCUAGUGUAGCGGUGAAAUGCGUAGAUAUUAGGAGGAACACCAGUGGCGAAGGCGGCUUUCUGGACUGUAACUGACGCUGAGGCACGAAAGCGUGGGUAGCGAACAGGAUUAGAUACCCCAGUAGUC